rnacentral:rRNA from 1 species
CACGUAGGGCGCAAGCGUUGUCCGGAAUUAUUGGGCGUAAAGAGCUCGUAGGCGGACUGUCACGUCUGCUGUGAAAAGCUGGGGCUUAACCCUGGCCUUGCAGUGGAUACGGGCAGACUAGAGGUAGGUAGGGGAGAAUGGAAUUCCCGGUGUAGCGGUGAAAUGCGCAGAUAUCUGGAGGAACACCGGUGGCGAAGGCGGCAUUCUGGACCAUAACUGACACUGAGAGACGAAAGCCAGGGGAGCAAACGGG